rnacentral:lncRNA from 1 species
AUAUCAGGUGUGGCAAAUUCUUUGGUGAUCUAUUGAGAAAACACUUUUACUAGUAUAUAUGCCCUUGUGUAGUCCCUCCAUACAUUAUUUCUGGUUUUGGCCAUGUGACUGGCUUUAGCCAAUGGAACAUUAGCAAUUGUGAUGCAUGCCUGUACAUGCAGGCUAUAUUUUCAGAACUCUACCUCUUGGAACAUUCCCUCUCAGAUUCCAACCACAAUACUGAAAAAACCAAAGCCCAGUCUAGCCAUUUAAAGAGAACACAUGGAAGUAAACCAAGAACCCAGCCAAUAUCCCCAGAAAUUGACAAGAUGAUCCUAAAAUUUAUCUAGAAACACAUGGGACACAGAACAGCCAAGACAAUUUUGAAAAAUAAGAACGAAGGACUCAUACUUCUUGAUUUCAAAACUGACUACAAAGCUACAGUAAUUAACACUGUGUGAGACUGGCAUAAGGAUAUGCAUAUAGAUUGAUAAAAUAAAACUGAGAAGCCCUUGAGAAAUAAACCUUAUAUAUGUGGUCAACUGAUUUUUGACAAUAAUGACAAGAAAAUUCAAUAGGAAAAGAAGUUAUUUCAACAAAUGGUACUGGGACAACUGGAUACACACAUGCAAAAGGAUGAAGUUGGAACCUUACCUCAUACCAUAUGCAAAAAUUAAUGCUAAAUGAGUCAUAGACCUAUAUAUAAGAAUUAGAACUAUAAAACUUAUGGAAGAAAAUAUAGGCGUAAGUCUUUGUGAUUUUGGAUUACACAAUGGUUUCCUAGAAUGACUCUUAAG